rnacentral:rRNA from 1 species
UAAUGGAAAUUUGAAGUUUUUGGCAGUUAACAUUUAUGAUUGGGGGAGCUUGUUAAUAAUUGGAAUUAGCUCAUUAUAUUUAAGGUAUAAGAAUUAAGUUUAUUUAUUUCCGUUAUUAAAAUUUAUAAGUUUUUAUAUUUUUGUUAAUUUAUUUCAGGUCAAGAUGUAGCAUUUAUAACAAUUAAUUAGCUACAAUUUAUAAAAAUGGAUAUAUUAGAGAAUAUAAAUAUUGAAAUUGAACUUAGUUGUAAUGAUUUUUAUUAAAAGAUUAUGAAAUAGAGGGUUA